UCUACGUCUUUCUUCAUUUAC
rnacentral:piRNA from 1 species